GCUCUAACGAUCCAUCUUCAUUGGUAGUUACUACUUACUAGGAUGUACAUGAAUAAUAUCAUAUAUUAAACUAUGCUUCCUCUCCCUUAUUCAGGGGUUCGAAGAUGCUGGGGACUUUACCGUCUCAGAGAGAUUGAAGACUAGCGUGCAUGUCAACUUAGCUUUCUAUCUAGUUCUCGGUCUUAUCCUUCUCAUCAUGAACUGAGACCGACGAUAUGGACGGUUUUGAUCCUUCAGGUUUAAUGAUCUUGAAAAAAAAGAACGAACAUGGCUUGAAGAAGGACAAAAGGUAGGCGAGCUUGUUCUUCCAUUGGCAAGGAACUUCAACGAUGUUGAUGACAUUGAACCAGGAAGCAACUUCUCUCAAGAACAUUAUUCAGUUGAAAUGAAGAUGUUAUCGAGCCAUGACACGAUAAAAAGAAGUUCAUAUAUUUCCCGUAAAUACGGAUCAGCUAGAGAAGCAAUCACGAAAAAAUAUGCAGCCAUUAGAGAACAACAUAACAGAUACUCGCUAUCUCCUGUCACAAAGUCGGAGAACAUGGCUUCAGCGCCAAGUAAUGGCCAAGGAGGGUCAGGAGUGACAUUUUCUCGUUAGGCAUCAACAUGGAAGAACAUGAAACUUGGAAUCAAUAAUUUUGAAGAGAACGUAGCCAGUAGCCACCAAGAAGUUAUCUUCCACUGAGGCAAGCAAGGCCCAGAAACAACAUUAACCACAAGAGUGAUGACUUCAUCAAUGCCGCAGUCUCUAGAUGAGGUAUUCCAGAGACUGAAAAAACCGGUCAGUAGAACAUGGACACUACCUCGAUUAGAUAAGUCGACUAACGAUGAAAUUUGAUAAAAAGAUUGGUGAAAGCUGAGUGAGAGAAAGCAAAAAGAGCAAGCAUCAGAUUUGUUCACUAUAGACUAUAGUAUAGAGAAAAAUUACAAAUCAGUGAUGAAAAAGAAAAUGCUAACAUGAAAUGUUACCAAAACUCACAACUGAGCAUUUGGAGUUAAAGGGUGGCCCCUUUUUGUUGUGGGCUUCUUUUUUUGUUUUGGGCUUCAUAUGCUUACAGUUAUUA